rnacentral:rRNA from 1 species
UCAAGUGAAGAAGCGCAUACGGUGGAUGCCUUGGCAGUCAGAGGCGAUGAAAGACGUGGUAGCCUGCGAAAAGCUUCGGGGAGUCGGCAAACAGACUUUGAUCCGGAGAUGUCUGAAUGGGGGAACCCAGCCAUCAUAAGAUGGUUAUCUUGUACUGAAUACAUAGGUGCAAGAGGCGAACCAGGGGAACUGAAACAUCUAAGUACCCUGAGGAAAAGAAAUCAACCGAGAUUCCCUUAGUAGUGGCGAGCGAACGGGGACUAGCCCUUAAGUGGCUUUGAGAUUAGCGGAACGCUCUGGAAAGUGCGGCCAUAGUGGGUGAUAGCCCUGUACGCGAAAAUCUCUUAGUCAUGAAAUCGAGUAGGACGGAGCACGAGAAACUUUGUCUGAAUAUGGGGGGACCAUCCUCCAAGGCUAAAUACUACUGACUGACCGAUAGUGAACUAGUACCGUGAGGGAAAGGCGAAAAGAACCCCGGAGAGGGGAGUGAAAUAGAUCCUGAAACCGUAUGCGUACAAGCAGUGGGAGCCCACUUUGUUGGGUGACUGCGUACCUUUUGUAUAAUGGGUCAGCGACUUAUUUUCAGUGGCGAGCUUAACCGAAUAGGGGAGGCGUAGCGAAAGCGAGUCUUAAUAGGGCGUCUAGUCGCUGGGAAUAGACCCGAAACCGGGCGAUCUAUCCAUGGGCAGGUUGAAGGUUGGGUAACACUAACUGGAGGACCGAACCGACUACCGUUGAAAAGUUAGCGGAUGACCUGUGGAUCGGAGUGAAAGGCUAAUCAAGCUCGGAGAUAGCUGGUUCUCCUCGAAAGCUAUUUAGGUAGCGCCUCAUGUAUCACUGUAGGGGGUAGAGCACUGUUUCGGCUAGGGGGUCAUCCCGACUUACCAAACCGAUGCAAACUCCGAAUACCUACAAGUGCCGAGCAUGGGAGACACACGGCGGGUGCUAACGUCCGUCGUGAAAAGGGAAACAACCCAGACCGUCAGCUAAGGUCCCAAAGUUAUGGUUAAGUGGGAAACGAUGUGGGAAGGCUUAGACAGCUAGGAGGUUGGCUUAGAAGCAGCCACCCUUUAAAGAAAGCGUAAUAGCUCACUAGUCGAGUCGGCCUGCGCGGAAGAUGUAACGGGGCUCAAACCAUACACCGAAGCUACGGGUAUCACGUAAGUGAUGCGGUAGAGGAGCGUUCUGUAAGCCUGUGAAGGUGAGUUGAGAAGCUUGCUGGAGGUAUCAGAAGUGCGAAUGCUGACAUGAGUAACGAUAAUGGGUGUGAAAAACACCCACGCCGAAAGACCAAGGUUUCCUGCGCAACGUUAAUCGACGCAGGGUUAGUCGGUCCCUAAGGCGAGGCUGAAAAGCGUAGUCGAUGGAAAACAGGUUAAUAUUCCUGUACUUCUGGUUAUUGCGAUGGAGGGACGGAGAAGGCUAGGCCAGCUUGGCGUUGGUUGUCCAAGUUUAAGGUGGUAGGCUGAAAUCUUAGGUAAAUCCGGGAUUUCAAGGCCGAGAGCUGAUGACGAGUUAUCUUUUAGAUAACGAAGUGGUUGAUGCCAUGCUUCCAAGAAAAGCUUCUAAGCUUCAGGUAACCAGGAACCGUACCCCAAACCGACACAGGUGGUUGGGUAGAGAAUACCAAGGCGCUUGAGAGAACUCGGGUGAAGGAACUAGGCAAAAUGGCACCGUAACUUCGGGAGAAGGUGCGCCGGUGAGGGUGAAGGACUUGCUCCGUAAGCUCAUGCCGGUCGAAGAUACCAGGCCGCUGCGACUGUUUAUUAAAAACACAGCACUCUGCAAACACGAAAGUGGACGUAUAGGGUGUGACGCCUGCCCGGUGCCGGAAGGUUAAUUGAUGGGGUUAGCUAACGCGAAGCUCUUGAUCGAAGCCCCGGUAAACGGCGGCCGUAACUAUAACGGUCCUAAGGUAGCGAAAUUCCUUGUCGGGUAAGUUCCGACCUGCACGAAUGGCGUAACGAUGGCGGCGCUGUCUCCACCCGAGACUCAGUGAAAUUGAAAUCGCUGUGAAGAUGCAGUGUAUCCGCGGCUAGACGGAAAGACCCCGUGAACCUUUACUAUAGCUUUGCACUGGACUUUGAAUUUGCUUGUGUAGG